GCACGGAGCAGUUAGGGAUUUGCUUUUUUGGUAAAGAGGGUAUCUGGGAGAAACUGCACUCAAACUUCCUCAGCCACACUCAACAUGGCAGCUUCCUAGCCACGCCCAAAAUGGCGGAACCCUUUGCCGUAGCUGGAGAGACGCUAUUUUCCCAAAAUGGAGCGGAGGAGGAAAAUGUCCAUCACAGCUUCACCCCGCCCCCCGCAGACGGCUAGCACCAAUUAGUAGCGCGCAGAGCGAGUACAAAGCUAGGGGAGGAGCCUGCUGUUGCCCCAGCAACAACCACGGAAACCAAGGCGAGCGCGGUCGCGGAAGUAUCGCGGCUUACAUAUCUCGCAGCCAGGCGGGUCCUGGGAGAGGCGCGAGCCAGGCCUGGUCGGCGCCCGCGGAGAAAAGAAGCAGUCAAGCCCAUGAACUACAACCCCGGUUGCCGCUUUCUCCUCUCCUAACCGUUAAGUGCGCUAAGGGCCAUGGCUGAGGUGCACGUGAUCGGGCAGAUCAUGGGGGCCAGCGGUUUCUCGGAAAGUAGCCUCUUCUGCAAGUGGGGCAUUCACACAGGGAGUUGCUGGGGAUGUUGAUCCAGCCAAGAAUACUGAGGCAGUUGGAUGAAAGGCUUGGGCUCUGCAGUUAGAGCUGAGUCUGAAUCCAGUCCCAUGAUGGGACCUUGGUCUGCUAUAGUCACUGCUAUGUCACCAGCAUGGAAAACAGUGCUUGGCACAUAGCAGGUGCUGAAUAAAU
rnacentral:lncRNA from 1 species